AGUGAACGCGGGCGGUAGGCCUAACACAUGCAAGUCGAACGGCAGCACAGGAGAGCUUGCUCUCUGGGUGGCGAGUGGCGGACGGGUGAGGAAUACAUCGGAAUCUACUCUGUCGUGGGGGAUAACGUAGGGAAACUUACGCUAAUACCGCAUACGACCUAAGGGUGAAAGCAGGGGACCUUCGGGCCUUGCGCGAUUGAAUGAGCCGAGGACGGAUUAGCUAGUUGGCGGGGUAAAGGCCCACCAAGGCGACGGUCCGGAGCUGGUCUGAGAGGAUGAUCAGCCACACUGGAACUGAGACACGGUCCAGACUCCUACGGGAGGCAGCAGUGGGGAAUAUUGGACAAUGGGCGCAAGCCUGAUCCAGCCAUACCGCGUGGGUGAAGAAGGCCUUCGGGUUGUAAAGCCCUUUUGUUGGGAAAGAAAUCCAGCUGGCUAAUACCCGGUUGGGAUGACGCUACCCAAAGAAUAAGCACCGGCUAACUUCGUGCCAGCCGCCGCGGUAA
rnacentral:rRNA from 1 species